ensembl:lncRNA
CGCGCAGGGCCGCAGAGCCGCAGGACUAACCUGGCUUGCGCCCUGCAGCCCCGGGCUCGCCCGGCGGCCCCGCCCCCUCCCCUGCCGGGGCUUUUCCUGCGGAGCUCAGGAAGCCGGCCUAGCACAGCCUCGGGACUUGGGCUCCGCUCCCAGGGAGGCCGGCGCGGGGCCGCUGGGACAGGGGUUGUCGGCGCCGCUGGGGGCCCGCAGCCAGCCCUCGGCCCGGGCCGGAGCUUCAGUUCAGCCCUGCCGCCCAGCGCCUGCCCUCGAAGCCCCGCGGCCGCCCGCGCCCUCCUCCCAUCAGUGGCCUAGCAGCCCUCGGCCCAAGGCUUCUCCGGCCCCUGGCUGCCCGCGGACGCCCUCCCACAGUCAUGAACCCCCAUGAGUGAGCAGCGGAGGAAGGAGGAGCGGCCGACUCGGACGUGGACGGCUUUUUUCGGACAGGUUGGCACGGAAAUCCAUCUGCUCGGCUGGGAUCUCCUUCAGGUCGUCUUCCGAGAGGGUCUUGGUACUCACCUUCUUCCCCAGGAGGUCCCGGAAGUCCAGCUGCUCCACCUCCUGCUGGCGGAUCGCCUCCUCAGUGUGCUGCCUCGUCUCCACACGCCUCUUCAGCACCCCUCGCACGUCCUCGCCGUCUUCCUCCUCUGGCCAACCCUGCCCUCUUGCUGGCCAGCCAGGCCUCAGGGUCCCAUAGCGGUCACUACCACCACCAUCAGCACCAACUCCUCCACCACAGAGGCCCUCACAGCUGGCAGGCUCCCUCCCCCUGCAACCAGUGAAGGGAGAAAGGAAAGUAGCAGGAGGAAAAGGGGCUGGCUCCUCCAACUCCCAGACUGUGUGGUUCUGCACAACAGUGAAGAAAAUAUUGAGGAACCGAAACAAGCUGAGGCAGGUAAGUCCCACCCCCUCCUCCACUCAGAUGCCGGAGGCCUGACACCAGUUAGGCUGGUGUACCUGCAGCAUUCUGCCCUGGGUUUGCCUUUGAUCCCACCCCUGCAGUCUAGCCACCAGGAAACAAAAAAUCUCCUCUCUGGGUUUUCUAAGCCUUACCUUUUGGUUCAGGGCAGAUCAGAACCCAGGAAACCCUGAACUCCAGAUAGGCAUCUGAAGGGAGAGGUGUCUCCACUCUGCCUCCAGCUCAGGUCCUCAGAACUACGCUUUGCCCUCACCUCACCUGACUGGUGCAGCACAUCCAGCCUCGUGCUCCUUGUUUUCUGGACAGUUUCCUUUUGUUGUGUUUGAUUUCCUUCUCUCAAGUAGUCAUUCAGUUUCCACAGUGAAUCCUGACUGGCACGCUAGAGUAUACACAGGCCUGAACACAUACUUGAAAGGUUGUGCCUCUCUUGCCUCCUGUUCCAGCUUCCUACCAUCCAAACUACACAAAUCAGCAAGUACCUCUUCCAAAUUUGUUUUUUUAGUGAACAGGGUCUCACUCUGUUGCCCAAGCUACAGUGCAGUGGUACAGUCAUAGCUCACUGCAGCCUCCUACUCCUGGGCUCAAGUGAUCCUCCCACCUCAGCCUCCCAAAUAGUUGGGACUACAGGUGCAUGCCACUACACCCAGCUAAUUAUUAAACUUUUUGUCGAGAUGGGAUCUCACUAUGUUGCCCAGGCUGGUCCUGAACUCCUGGGCUCAAGUGAUGCUCUUGACCCAAAGCGCUGGGA